rnacentral:rRNA from 1 species
GGGGAGCCAUUACAGGUGUUGCAUGGCUGUCGUCAGCUCGUGUCGUGAGAUGUUCGGUUAAGUCCGCUAACGAGCGCAACCCUCGCUGUGUGUUAUAUGUGUCACACAGGACUGCUGGUAUUAAGCCGGAGGAAGGUGGGGACGACGCCAAGUCAGCAUGACCUUUAUAUCCAGGGCUACACACACGCUACAAUGGUCAGUACAAUGGGUUGCCAAGCCGCGAGGCGGAGCCAAUCCUAAAAAGCUGGCCUCAGUUCAGAUUGCAGUCUGAAACUCGACUGCAUGAAGUCGGAGUUGCUAGUAAACGCAGGUCAGCUAUACUGCGUUGAAUACGUUCCCGGGGCUU